rnacentral:sRNA from 1 species
AAAAGCCAUCCUCAAAAUUUACCUUUUCAGGUAUUUCUAGAGGCAGGUAUUGCCACCCAAUUUUGCAAUUUAGACUAUCAAAAUAUUCUUCCAGGGAAUUUUCAUUGGAACCCCUGGUAUUUUUUGCUCAAUAUAUUUUAUCUCCAAAAGAUCUUUUGAAAUAUGAUUGAUUCUUUUACAAGUUUCAAUCAGCCUUUCCAGGAAACUGGUUUUGGAAUCUGUUUUGGUUUAUUAUUGGCGCCGAAUUUAAUCUUUUCCAAAUAGCAUACAUACGAAUUCAUAUGGAAAUUCACGGAAAUAUGUAUUGUUCAUCGUAGCCAUCGCUCAUAAUUUUUAAAAACAUUGACGCAGCAAUGGUUGCUUCCUCGUCUUCAAAAGUGCCACGAUCAGCAAAUAUUUGAAUUCCUGUGCUGACCAUAUUCGAAAAUAUAUUGACCGCCAAAUUGGGUUUCAGAUAUACGUAAUUCCACACGAACUGAGGGACUGGCGGAUCGAUCAAUCUUUUGCGGUUUUUCCCUUCAAGAGCCUUCGUCCUUACUACGGCCUGAUCGUAGACUAUAGCCGGCUGUAGUGCAACACUUAACCGCCUGACCAAUGGCUUCUAAUGGCCGUCUAAGUAUUCCUUUGAGCAGCAUGACCGCCGUCUAGUUGAAACGGCAACGCCUACUUCAACUCCCCAAGCGCCAAUCUCUUGUCACCGGAACAGUGGCUAGUAUACUCAUGUGUUUACAAGCCAUUUUAUUAUAUAUAUACUUUGAAACAUAUUUGCAAAUGCAUGGUGGCCAAGGAGUAAAAGGCAGCGGCCAGGAGGGAGAACGCGGAGGCCAUUGCGGUGGUUGCGUAGACGCUGUGCGCCUGUGCUCAGCUUGUAGCUGCAGCCUCCACUCGAAUUUAACUGUAAAUGCGAAGACGGUGGGAAGCACAGAAUAACCGUCGAACAGCGGUGGCAGCGUCUUAACCCACUAAAGCCCCCUCUAUUAAAAUAGUUCAACUUCUUGAGGAAAAUGUCGGAAAAUAUUAACGAUUUCAUCUAAACUUAAAAAUAACAACGUUAACUUUCACCUGAACUGCGCUAAAAUUAUUAAAUUUUUAUUAUUUU